UACGUAGGGUGCGAGCGUUGUCCGGAAUUAUUGGGCGUAAAGGGCUCGUAGGCGGUUUGUCGCGUCGGGAGUGAAAAUCCAGGGCUUAACUCUGGACUGGCUUUCGAUACGGGCAGACUAGAGGUAUGCAGGGGAGAACGGAAUUCCUGGUGUAGCGGUGAAAUGCGCAGAUAUCAGGAAGAACACCCGUGGCGAAAGCGGCUCUCUGGAACGGUACUGACGCUGAGACGCGAAAGCGUGGGGAGCGAACAGG
rnacentral:rRNA from 1 species